UCCCAGUUCCCAUUUUACCCCUUCAGGGCCAUCUAUAGUAAAUGUGCAUGUUUAAAUGCGCUUUAUUACCCUCUAUUAAGUCGGUCUUCCACUAGCGAAUUUUUCUGUGCGAAGCGACCUUUUUCCUUUGUCGGCAUCCAUUUUGCAGCCCUGGAAAAGUCAAAACCGUCAAAAUUGAGGUCGGCAAAAGAGGGCCGACCUAAAUCUGACCUAGGUCGGCACAUCUCGGCAUUUCUUAAAAUCUGUUCCACGUCUUGGAGCACUGUUAAUCACGCAUUUACGAAUCAUUGAAAUCGGAAUAUAACUGGAACGUUACCUCCAGCCGGAAAAUUCGAAAGUUGGAGCCAAAUUUUAACUCCAGACGCGCGAAAUUUGAUCUUCAAACAUCUAACGUAUAUACACAAUUAUACC